rnacentral:rRNA from 1 species
GACAGGCUUAACACAUGCAAGUCGAGGGGCUUCGGUGGUGAAGGCUUGCCUUUACCAGCCGGCGACCGGCGCACGGGUGAGUAACACGUAUGCAACCUGCCUGCCACAGCCGGAUAAUCGGGAGAAAUUCCGUCUAAUACGGCAUAAUGCACCUAUGGGACAUCCUGUUGGUGCCAAAGGUUGAUUCCGGUGGCGGAUGGGCAUGCGUCGCAUUAGUUAGUUGGCGGUGUAACGGACCACCAAGACGACGAUGCGUAGGGGUUCUGAGAGGAAGGUCCCCCACACUGGUACUGAGACACGGACCAGACUCCUACGGGAGGCAGCAGUGAGGAAUAUUGGUCAAUGGGCGGGAGCCUGAACCAGCCAAGUCGCGUGAGGGAUGACGGCCCUAUGGGUUGUAAACCUCUUUUGCCGGGGAGCAAAGUGCCGCACGUGUGCGGUUUGGAGAGUACCCGGAGAAAAAGCAUCGGUUAACUCCGUGCCAGCAGCCGCGGUAAUACGGAGGAUGCGAGCGUUAUCCGGAUUUAUUGGGUUUAAAGGGUGCGUAGGCGGACGCUUAAGUCAGCGGUAAAAUUGCGGGGCUCAACCUCGUCGAGCCGUUGAAACUGGGUGCCUUGAGUGGGCGAGAAGUACGCGGAAUGCGUGGUGUAGCGGUGAAAUGCAUAGAUAUCACGCAGAACUCCGAUUGCGAAGGCAGCGUACCGGCGCCCAACUGACGCUGAAGCACGAAGGCGUGGGUAUCGAACAGGAUUAGAUACCCUGGUAGUCCACGCAGUAAACGAUGAAUGCUAGUUGUCCGGGGCGAUUGAGUUCUGGGUGACACAGCGAAAGCGUUAAGCAUUCCACCUGGGGAGUACGCCGGCAACGGUGAAACUCAAAGGAAUUGACGGGGGCCCGCACAAGCGGAGGAACAUGUGGUUUAAUUCGAUGAUACGCGAGGAACCUUACCCGGGCUCAAACGCAGGAGGGAUGUUUUUGAAAGGAGGCAGCCAGCAAUGGUCUCCUGCGAGGUGCUGCAUGGUUGUCGUCAGCUCGUGCCGUGAGGUGUCGGCUUAAGUGCCAUAACGAGCGCAACCCCUACCUACAGUUGCCAUCGCGUGAUGGCGGGCACUCUGUGGGGACUGCCUGCGCAAGCAGUGAGGAAGGCGGGGAUGACGUCAAAUCAGCACGGCCCUUACGUCCGGGGCGACACACGUGUUACAAUGGCAGGUACAGCGGGAAGCCACCCGGCGACGGGGCGCGGAACCCGAAAACCUGUCUCAGUUCGGAUUGGAGUCUGCAACCCGACUCCAUGAAGCUGGAUUCGCUAGUAAUCGCGAAUCAGCCACGGCGCGGUGAAUACGUUCCCGGGC